AUUGAACGCUGGCGGCAGGCUUAACACAUGCAAGUCGAGCGAGCGGCGGACGGGUGAGUAAUGUCUGGGAAACUUCCUGAUGGAGGGGGCUCACUACUGGAAACGGUAGCUAAUACCGCAUACCAUCGGAUGUGCCCAGAUGGGAUUAGCUAGUAGGUGGGGUAACGGCUCACCUAGGCGAUGAUCCCUAGCUUGUCUGAGAGGAUGACAAGCACCACUGGAACUGAGACACGGUCCAGACUCCUACGGGAGGCAGCAGUGGGGAAUAGUGCACAAUGGGCGCAAGCCUGAUGCAGCCAUGCCGCGUGUAUGAAGAAGGCCUUCGGGUUGUAAAGUACUUUCAGCGGGGAGGCGUUACCCGCAGAAGAAGCACCGGCUAACUCCGUGCCAGCAGCCGCGGUAAUAC
rnacentral:rRNA from 1 species